CUUCAUUAUUUGGGCAUUUCAUUAAUUUAUCAUUGAAACAUUGCCAAACUACAAACAAUGGUUCACCAUUAAGUUGGAGGAAGUUGGAAAUUUUAUCCCAUAGUUG
rfam:Capsicum annuum cultivar Zunla-1 chromosome 9, whole genome shotgun sequence